rnacentral:rRNA from 1 species
UACGGAGGGUCCAAGCGUUAUCCGGAUUUACUGGGUUUAAAGGGUGCGUAGGUGGUCAGACCAGUCAGUGGUGAAAUCCUACAGCUUAACUGUAGAACUGCCAUUGAAACUUUCUGACUUGAGUGUAGUUGAGGCGGGUGGAAUGUAUCAUGUAGCGGUGAAAUGCUUAGAUAUGAUACAGAACACCGAUUGUGAAGGCAGCUCGCUAAACUAUUACUGACACUGAGGCACGAAAGCGUGGGUAU